rnacentral:rRNA from 1 species
AGCGAACGCUGGCGGCAGGCUUAACACAUGCAAGUCGAACGCCCCGCCAGGGGAGUGGCAGACGGGUGAGUAACACGUGGGAACGUACCCUUUGGUUCGGAAUAACUUGGGGAAACUCAAGCUAAUACCGGAUAAGUCCUUAUGGGGAAAGGUUUACUGCCGAAGGAUCGGCCCGCGUCUGAUUAGCUAGUUGGGUAGGUAAUGGCUCACCAGGGCGACGAUCAGUAGCUGGUCUGAGAGGAUGAUCAGCCACACUGGGACUGAGACACGGCCCAGACUCCUACGGGAGGCAGCAGUGGGGGAUAUUGGACAAUGGGGGCAACCCUGAUCCAGCCAUGCCGCGUGAGUGAUGAAGGCCUAGGGUUGUAAAGCUCUUUUACCCGGGACGAUAAUGACUGUACCGGGAGAAUAAGCCCCGGCUAACUUCGUGCCAGCCGCCGCGGUAA